CCAAAAUAGGUAUACAUCACUCAUUCUGAGUCGCCAAAUACAUGAUACAGAAUACAAAUACAAACUUAAUUAUACAACUGUCGUACAAAAUACGACAACACAAUAGCUGAGAGUUUUAACACGAAUAUUGUCUUCUAGACAAUAUCCAAACUCAAAUUCAAUCUCAACAAUUAUUAUCAUACUAUUUCAUAGAAUAGUGAGGACUACUAAAACAACCAUCUGGACCAUCAAUUCAUUUCCCGACUAGUCCCAGCUACAUUCUCAUUUUCUGAAGAGAACAAUGAAAGAAAAAGGUGAGCUCAACUAACCUAGUAAGAAAUAUUAUGACUAAAAUAAUGCAGAAUAAAUUAUCCUUAACCUUCAACAGUAUAACAACUGAUAGAAUACAAUAGAUAACAAGUUUUAGAUCAACAACUGCAGCGGAAUAAGCAAUCCAUUAGAAGAGUCAAGUAGAACAUGAUAUUUACUAUAUUCUAUGAUUUAAAAGUUUAUCAUCAAUUUUAUCGCCGAGACUCAGUUUAAUAAAUAAUCCACAUCACUGAAUUAUCCAUGCACUACGGGCGAAAGAUAUUUAUUAGUAUCACGACCACGAAUUAUCCAUGCACUACGGGCCAAGGAUAUUUGUGUUUUCAUCAAUGGUCAUGAACAUGCCAAACAACAAUUCAUGUUUGCACCCUUGGCCGAAUAGAACGCAUGGUCAUGAUCAUACCAAUAACUGUCGCUAAGACUCAACUCAAUAAAUAAUCCAUAUCACUUGUAACAUUACAGAUCAUGAUUAUACCGAAUAAUCCCUAGUCAUAAUCAUACCCAUCAACAAUCCAUCUAUGCAUUACGGGCCAAAGAUGACUUUCAUCACAAUAUAAGCAUGAGGAUGAUGACAAUGAUAUAAAAAUUAAUCAAACGAGAUCAAGGAUAAAUAUUAAAGACUUUAAAUUUAUCCAAAGUUUAAAAACGUUCAAAUGGUCAACAUGAUACUACUUUGUGGAGUAAAAUUUAAGAAUAAUAUUCACGUAUCAAAAAUAAUUUUGAACAAAAAAGAUCAAUUUUUAGUCGUGAAUAGUACCCGGGUGAAUAGUAUCUCGUGAAUAGUACUUUGUGAAUAGUACCCGUACGUAUGAAUAGUGUCGUACGCAUGAAUAGUGCCGUAUAAAUGAAUAGUACCCAUAAAUAGUACUCCGGUAUGAAAAACUUAAAAAUGAACAAGAAUGUUCAGAAAAAUAGCUUUGUGAAACGAUACUAGAUGAAGCGCAAAUUUUAAGGAUAUUCUACUAAUUUCAAGGAGUAAAGAAGCAAAACUUAUCAACAUGAGUGUAGAAUUCGGAAUCUGAAACGAAAUAAUAUUACUUACAUAUUACAGAGUAUGGAAGAAAAUAUUAUUUCUUACGAAUAUUGAACAAAAAUAACAUCCCUUACAAUUGUCGAAAGAAAAAUAAUAUUCCUUACGAAUAUUGAACGAGGAUAAUAUUCCUUACGAAUAUUAAACGAAUAUAAUAUUUCUUGCGAAUAUUGAACGAGAUAAAAUUUCUUACGAAUACGAAAAAUAAUAUCGUAAGCGAAUAUGAAAUAAAUAAUACCCUUUACCUCAAAAAGAGAGCAAUUUUGAUUGGUAUAGCGGAUAUAUUCUUGAAGAAAAUUUUCACUAUUUUUUACAGUCAAAGUUUCCUUAAACUCUAAAGAAAUACGCUCAAUAUUAUAGAAGAAGAAUUCUGGUUUGAUUUUCAUUUCUAAAUUGAGCAUCCUAUUUAUAGGAGAAGGGAAUGAUACUAUUUGAAUUAGAAAAUCACUGACGCACAGUAAAAAUUCGGACGAUUUUCUGAAAAUUCAC
rnacentral:lncRNA from 1 species